rnacentral:rRNA from 1 species
UGGGGAAUAUUGCACAAUGGGCGAAAGCCUGAUGCAGCAACGCCGCGUGAGUGAUGAAGGCCUUCGGGUUGUAAAGCUCUGCCUUCUGGGACGAUAAUGACGGUACCAGAGGAGGAAGCCACGGCUAACUACGUGCCAGCAGCCGCGGUAAUACGUAGGUGGCAAGCGUUGUCCGGAUUUACUGGGCGUAAAGGAUGCGUAGGCGGAUACUUAAGUCAGAUGUGAAAAUCCCGGGCUUAACUUGGGAACUGCAUUUGAAACUGGGUAUCUAGAGUGCGGGAGAGGAAAGUUGAAUUCCUAGUGUAGCGGUGAAAUGCGUAGAGAUUAGGAAGAACACCAGUGGCGAAGGCGACUUUCUGGACCGUAACUGACGCUGAGGCAUGAAAGCGUGGGGAGCAAACA